rnacentral:rRNA from 1 species
GAUGAACGCUAGCUACAGGCUUAACACAUGCAAGUCGAGGGGCAGCAUGAACUUAGCUUGCUAAGUUUGAUGGCGACCGGCGCACGGGUGAGUAACACGUAUCCAACCUGCCGAUGACUCGGGGAUAGCCUUUCGAAAGAAAGAUUAAUACCCGAUGGCAUAAUUCUUCCGCAUGGUAGAACUAUUAAAGAAUUUCGGUCAUCGAUGGGGAUGCGUUCCAUUAGGUUGUUGGCGGGGUAACGGCCCACCAAGCCUUCGAUGGAUAGGGGUUCUGAGAGGAAGGUCCCCCACAUUGGAACUGAGACACGGUCCAAACUCCUACGGGAGGCAGCAGUGAGGAAUAUUGGUCAAUGGGCGAGAGCCUGAACCAGCCAAGUAGCGUGCAGGAUGACGGCCCUAUGGGUUGUAAACUGCUUUUAUAAGGGAAUAAAGUGGGAGUCGUGACUCUUUUUGCAUGUACCUUAUGAAUAAGGACCGGCUAAUUCCGUGCCAGCAGCCGCGGU